UUUCCGUAGGUGAACCUGCGGAAGGAUCAUUAUUAAUUCAACGGGGUGGUCGCGGCCUCCGGGGGCUUGCACGUGGGCGGCAGAGGAAACACCUUCACCCGACACAUGUCGCACUCAUUUGUUUAAGCGCACCGUUCGUUCUCUUUCUUGGGGGCAACCUGCCGUUGGAAUUUACAAAAACUUUUUUUGCAUCUAGGAUUACAUUUUUAGAUACAGACAAUCCAUACAACUUUCAACAAUGGAAAUAUUGGCUCUUGCAUCUAUGACGAACGCAGAAAA
rnacentral:misc_RNA from 1 species